rnacentral:rRNA from 1 species
GACGGGGGGGGCAAGUGUUCUUCGGAAUUACUGGGCGUAAAGGGCGCGUAGGCGGCCUGUUAAGUCGAACGUGAAAUCCCUGGGCUCAACCCAGGAACUGCGUCCGAUACUGGCAGGCUUGAAUCCGGGAGAGGGAUGCGGAAUUCCAGGUGUAGCGGUGAAAUGCGUAGAUAUCUGGAGGAAUACCUAUGGCGAAAGCAGGCUUCUGGACCAUCACUGACGCUGAGCUGCGAAAGCUAGGGGAGCAAACAGG